UACGGAGGAUGCAAGCGUUAUCCGGAAUGAUUGGGCGUAAAGCGUCCGCAGGUGGCAACGUAAGUCUGCUGUCAAAGCGUCUGGCUCAACCAGAUAAAGGCAGUGGAAACUACAUAGCUAGAGUAAGGUAGGGGUAGAGGGAAUUCCUGGUGUAGCGGUGAAAUGCGUAGAGAUCAGGAAGAACACCGGUGGCGAAAGCGCUCUGCUGGACCUUAACUGACACUGAGGGACGAAAGCUAGGGGAGCGAAUGGG
rnacentral:rRNA from 1 species